GCCUGGGUGGCUCAGUCGGUUAAGUGUCUGACUUCGGCUCAGGUCAUGAUCUCACAGUUCGUGGGUUCGAGCCCUGCAUCGGGCU
rnacentral:tRNA from 1 species